rnacentral:lncRNA from 1 species
UUUGGCCAGACACGUUGGACAUUUGAAAUGUUCUGAUUGGUUGGAUUUGAAUUGGAUUUUGUGUGUUGCUUGCAACGCGUUCCAUUGUGUUCUUUAACCUAAGGAGUGUUGGAUAUGCCACGUCAAUCAAUGAGGCGUGAUCCAACGCUCCGUGUUUUUUCUGAUUUUAAUUAGUUUUCUUUUAAAUUUCUUUUUCUUUUAAAAGUCAUAGUAAUUUCAUUUUUUAUCCAUAAAAU